rnacentral:rRNA from 1 species
UACGGAGCAGCAGUGGGGAAUAUUGCACAAUGGGCGCAAGCCUGAUGCAGCCAUGCCGCGUGUAUGAAGAAGGCCUUCGGGUUGUAAAGUACUUUUCAGUCGUGAGGAAGGUGUUAAGGUUAAUAACCUUAGCAAUUGACGUUAGCGACAGAAGAAGCACCGGCUAACUCCGUGCCAGCAGCCGCGGUAAUACGGAGGGUGCGAGCGUUAAUCGGAAUUACUGGGCGUAAAGGGCACGCAGGCGGUUAAUUAAGUUGGAUGUGAAAUCCCCGGGCUUAACCUGGGAAUGGCAUUCAAGACUGGUUAGCUAGAGUCUUGUAGAGGGGGUAGAAUUCCAUGUGUAGCGGUGAAAUGCGUAGAGAUGUGGAGGAAUACCGGUGGCGAAGGCGGCCCCUGGGACAAAGGCUGACGCUCAUGUGCGAAAGCGUGGGGAGCAAA